UGGGCGAUGAAGGCCUUCGGGUCGUAAAGCCCUUUUCUGGGGGAAGAGAAAGGACGGUACCCCAGGAAUAAGCCCCGGCUAACUACGUGCCAGCAGCCGCGGUAAAACGUAGGGGGCAAGCGUUAUCCGGAUUUACUGGGCGUAAAGAGCGUUGAGGCGGUUUUGUAAGUUGGGCGUGAAAGCCCUGGGCUUAACUCAGGGAAGCCGUUCAAUACUGCGAAACUUGAGGGCAGCAGAGGGAGGUGGAAUUCCCGGAGUAGCGGUGUAAUGCGUAGAUAUCGGGAGGAACACCAGUGGCGAAGGCGGCCUCCUGGGCUGCUCCUGACGCUGAAGGCGAAAGCUAGGGGAGCGAACGGGAUUAGAAACCCCGGUAGUCCUAGCCGUAAACGAUGGAUGCUAGGUGUGGGGGGUGUAGAUUCCCUCCGUGCCGCAGUUAACGCGUUAAGCAUCCCGCCUGGGGAGUACGGCCGCAAGGCUAAAACUCAAACGAAUUGACGGGGGCCCGCACAAGCAGCGGAGCGUGUGGUUUAAUUCGAUGCUACACGAAGAACCUUACCUGGGCUUGACAUACAGGUAGUAGUGAAGUGAAAGCGGAUCGAUCCUUCGGGGAGCCUGUACAGGUGCUGCAUGGCUGUCGUCAGCUCGUGCCGUGAGGUGUCGGGUUAAGUCCCGUAACGAGCGCAACCCUUGCUCUUAGUUAUACGUGUCUAAGAGGACUGCCGGCGGUAAGCCGGAGGAAGGUGGGGAUGACGUCAAGUCAGCAUGGCCUUUAUGUCCAGGGCUACACACACGCUACAAUGGCCGGUACAAUGGGUAGCUAAACCGCGAGGUGGAGCCAAUCCUGUAAAGCCGGUCUCAGUUCGAAUUGCAGGCUGCAACUCGCCUGCAUGAAGUCGGAG
rnacentral:rRNA from 1 species